GUGUCAGCAGCCGCGGUAAGACGAACCGUGCGAACGUUGUUCGGAAUCACUGGGCUUAAAGGGCGCGUAGGUGGUUUGCCAAGUCGGGGUUGAAAUCUUUCGGCUCAACCGGAAAAGUGGCUUCGAUACUGGCAAGCUGGAGGGAGGUAGGGGCGGAUGGAACUUCCGGUGGAGCGGUGAAAUGUGUUGAUAUCGGAAGGAACGCCGGUGGCGAAAGCGAUCCGCUGGACCUCUUCUGACACUGAGGCGCGAAAGCCAGGGGAGCAAACGGGAUUAGAUACCCCAGUAGUCC
rnacentral:rRNA from 1 species